AAGACUUUGUCAUUUUCAUGCAUACACAACUUUGCAUAAACGCAGGCACCGCGUAGGGUUUGUGUGUAGGUGGCACUAAAUUUUCUUUGCCACCUUUAAUAAAUACAUUGCAAACUGACCAUGGCAAUGGAAUGAACUUGUAAAAACAACAAACAUCAAUUUAAGUGUCAAGAAAGAAUUUUUAAAAAUCUGAAAAAAAAUAUUUGGAAAUCAGAUGACAAAUUUACAUAUUUGAAG